AUCCACACCCUGCCUGCAUGCUUUUUGUUGCUGUGUCAGUUUUGUGUUUUCUGGUCUGCUGUUUCUGUUAAUUUUGUAAACUGUGCUGUCUGUCGAAGUUUCACAAUUGUUCUGUGUGUUUGUUAAGCGUCUCUCUCUGUCCUUACUGCCCACCCACGUGGCAUUCGUGGGUCAGGGGUCUUUUCUUGCCCUGAGCAUGUGGCGUGCGGGAUAGGAGUUCCUCUGCCAUGUGCCAUGGGUUGGAGUGUCCUGCGGCACAGUCCCCUGAGGCUACUGCUCUGAACUCCAACCACUGCUGUGGCCCUCACAGCUGAGCCUGGCCGGUGCAGAGGCAACGCCUGGGAGGCUGAUAGCUUUACAGCCAAGUUGUGAAUGAUGUGGUGGAAGCCAGCAGCCAAAGAACAGUGAGCACUGUAAGACCCGCGGAGACUCACGCCCCCAGGAUCUGGGUCCAGGAAUGCAGACACCCCAAUCACCAGGCAGAGUUGAAAGCUUGAUGCAAACUGCACAAGGCUUUAUUAUAGUUGUUUAAUGAACUAACCCCAUGUUAUCUUGGGUCUUUCAUCCACCCACCAGUAUCAAAGAACAGCAAUCUUCGCCAGGCCUGUAAGGAAAGCAGGUGACUACACACUGACAAAGUCUGCACCACCCAAGAAGGCGAUAAAUACAUCAACAAUGUCUGAUCCAUUAGCAGUUGACAAGUUCAGAGGAAAUACUACAGUACAUCUAUCUUGUCUUGUGAAUUUCUUUUCUGGAGCUGGUAACACGAAAAACUAUAACUUUAAAGUCUUCAAUUUCAUCAGAGACCCAAGGAGGCAAUAAUAUUACCUGAGUAAGCAGCACAUGCAAGCAAGUGACUUCCAAAAAAUGUGAGAAAUGACAAAAACAUCUGGCUGCCUGGACAGUCACCCAAGUUUCCUCUGCAACAUUGGACAUCCAUCUUCGGCCUAGCAUAUCUGGUAGACUUUUCUGUGAAGCAGAAUAUUCUGAAGGGUUGUCUUACCUUAUCUUGGCAAAGUUCAGCAGUCGUUUCUUUUGUGUCCUGCUUGUACAAUUUGGACAGCGUACUGUCAACAGUCGAGGCAAGAGCACUUUUUUGCUCAGCGGAUAACUUUUGCCACAAAGAAAGUAAACUCCAUGUGGAGUUUGUUCAAUGCCCAUCAUCUUUGAAGUAGAUUUGCACCACCAAGAGAAGACAUGUCUCAUUCUAUGAAAAACGAAAAGGACCUAUGUUAUUAAAAUCCAAGCCAAUGUAAAAAUAUUUAAAACUUAGUAAUUGCUUUUUUUGGUCCAAAGGUAGAUUCAAUAAUCUACCUCUUCAUCCUGUUCCUAUAUCCCUCUUUUUUUUUUUUUCAUUUCAGAGUAAAUUCAAUAAUAUGCCCUUAAAUCCUAUCGUAUCUAUAUGCACCUUUUUGCUUUUCAAAAUGAGAGCUCUGAAUAUAAUUUUUUUAGCUUUUGUUUAGCUAUUUUUUAAAGCUUUGUUCAGCUUUUUCCCUGACCAUAACCAAUAACAAUUUCUAACCGACCCCCUUAAACAAUGACAGAUAUCCAUAACCCAAUGAGUGAUCAAAACCUACCCACCCCACCUCUUGGGAACGUGGGUGUUGUAUUCUUUAAUUCCUGCUGUCUUCAGGUAAUCGAAUCUUUGGGGGAUCCUGAAAAGAAAAAUUUGAGUUAAUUGUCAAGUCUUGG
ensembl:lncRNA